UACGGAGGGUGCGAGCGUUGUCCGGAAUCAUUGGGCGUAAAGGGCGCGUAGGUGGCCUGGUCAGCGUGCGGUGAAAGCUCGGGGCUCAACCCCGAGUCGGCCGUGCGAACUGCUGGGCUGGAGCACUGUAGAGGCAGGCGGAAUUCCGGGUGUAGCGGUGGAAUGCGUAGAGAUCCGGAAGAACACCGGUGGCGAAGGCGGCCUGCUGGGCAGUUGCUGACACUGAGGCACGAAAGCGUGGGGAGCAAACAGG
rnacentral:rRNA from 1 species